AGCAGCCGCGGUAAUUCCAGCUCCAAUAGCGUAUAUUAAAGUUGUUGCAGUUAAAAAGCUCGUAGUUGAAUUUCGGGAUCAAAGGAUCGGUCAUGCCUUGGUAUGUACUGGUUUUAUUGGUUCUCACCUUCUAAAGAACCAUAAUGUCAUUCAUUUGAUGUUAUGGGGAAUUAGGACUGUUACCUUGAAAAAAUUAGAGUGUUUAAAGCAGGCUUACGCUUGAAUACAUUAGCAUGGAAUAAUGAAAUAGGACAUCAGAUUCUAUUUUGUUGGUUUCUAGGAUCGAUGUAAUGAUUAAUAGGGAUAGUUGGGGGCAUUAGUAUUCAAUUGUCAGAGGUGAAAUUCUUGGAUUUAUUGAAGACUAACUACUGCGAAAGCAUUUGCCAAGGAUGUUUUCAUUAAUCAAGAACGAAGUUAGGGGAUCGAAGACGAUCAGAUACCGUCGUAGUC
rnacentral:rRNA from 1 species